UGGUUCCUGGCAGGGGAAUAUGAUUUUAUCCAGUUGAGAGCUUGCUCAGAGAAAUUAAAAUAUGUUAAUUUAGAUAAAAGAACUUCAUGAUUAACAGUAUCAAAAGCUCGCUUUAGGUCUAGGAAGACAGCACCAACAUAAGAACUCUUAUCUAAGUAUCCUUUAACCUUUUCCAAAAACAAACAGUUGGCUGUUUCUGUUGAGUGUUGGGCCCUGAAC